GCGCGAAAACUUCGCAAUGGGGGAAACCCCGACGAGGGAAAGCCAAGUGCCAGCACAAUGUGCUGGCUGUUUUCCUGUCUAAAAAACAGGGAGAGUAAGGGCUGGGUAAGACGGGUGCCAGCCGCCGCGGUAAUACCUGCAGCCCAAGUGGUGCUCGUUAUUAUUGGGUCUAAAUCGUCCGUAGUCGGUCGAGUAGAUGCCCGGGUAAAUCGAAGCGCUUAACGUUUCGAAUUCCGGGUAGACCGCUCGGCUUGGGAUUGGGAGAGGCGCGAGGUACUCUGAGGGUAGGGGUAAAAUCCUGUAAUCCUUGGGGGACCACCAGUGGCGAAGGCGUCGCGCUAGAACAACUCCGACGAUCAGGGACGAAGCCCUGGGGCGCAAACGGG
rnacentral:rRNA from 1 species